AGCGGCCUGUCGUACGGCCGGAGCCAGGGAACGGGUUGGCAAAGGGGACGCUGGCUGGUCGUGUAUCCGCUGCCGCGGCUGGUGGCAGGCAGAGGGUCGCCGGCUCGGGCCGGAAUGGUGCAUGAGCGUCUGGUGCGUUCUGCGGCGGGGGGAAGACGAGGAGUCACUAUACUUCAGAAGUGCAUUAUUGGCUGUAAAGUGAUUUGGAACAUUGUGGGAAGUGCUACAUAAAGAUUUAAGGAAGUGUCUUAGCCAUGCUGACUUUAGCAAAAAAGCUGAAACGAGAAGAUGGUAUGAAAGGGAGAGGCAACACAAACACAGGGACUGAAUCAUCUCGACGUGUAUCCAUUAGAGAUAAGCUGCUCAUCAAAGAAGUUGCAGAACUUGAAGCAAACCUACCCAGUACAUGCAAACUGGACUUUCCUGAUGCAAACAAACUUCAUUCCUUCCAGCUGAAUGUCAUGCCAGAUGAAGGGUAUUACCAGGGUGGCAAGUUCCAGUUUGAAACGGAUGUUCCAGAAGCCUACAAUAUGGUGCCUCCCAAGGUAAAAUGUUUAACCAGAAUUUGGCACCCCAAUAUUACUGAGACUGGAGAAAUUUGUUUAAGCUUGCUGAGGGAACACUCGAUUGAUGGCACUGGGUGGGCACCAACAAGAACCUUAAAGGUAUUCUUCUCAUUGCGAACUACAGUUAUUUCCCCCUUCCUCACUGAAUUUCCAGCAGGAUGUGGUCUGGGGAUUGAAUUCUUUAUUUACUGAUCUCUUGAACUUUGAUGAUCCCCUGAAUAUCGAAGCUGCAGAGCAACACCUGCGUGACAAGGAGGACUUUCGGAGUAAAGUGCAGGAUUAUAUUAGACGCUUUGCAAGAUGAUCAUAUGAGCUGUCUGAUGGGACACUACUCCAAGCUGUGGAAGCCAAGUCUUCUGCCUUCUGAUGUUGAUCGUCAAUUAAACACUGGAUUGUGACGGUCCAAUAUCACUGUUGUUAUGAAGAGAAGCUGUUGGUGCUACUUUGAAUUCAGCGUCAGUACAGCAAGUGAUGGGCAACUUUGGGCUAAGAUUCAAGAAUAAUUACUCUUAUUGUGGCAAAAUAGUUGGGUUUUCUUCAAUUAUAAGGACUGUACAGAGCACCUGGAGUCUGUCUCUUUACUGAUUGAGUCACAAAAGACAUUUUUUCUAGUGUAAUAUGGUGUUGUUUGGAAACCACAAUAUCUUGCAACAAAAGGUCUUAAGACAUGUGUUUGAAGCAUUAACAGCAUGCGGCUUGCAAAUAUUAAACAACUGUGGAAAAUGCAGAGUAGCACUUGAGCCAGUGUCUCUGUCAUCGGGAGGGGGCAUUGUCUUAAAAUGGACGCAACUCUUGAUCCCACAGCUCCGCUUGGUCAAUUAAAGUAUGUCUGGUGAAGAUGUUAAUUGUUUGAGAAUUGUAAUUCCCUACCUAAAAUUCAGGUUUGUUUUGUGAUAUAUAUAGCGCACCUAUAAGUACAUCUCUUGCCAGAUGUGAAAAUGUUGUGUACUUGCAUGUAUGCAUAUAUAUUACCAAGUGUUUAUUAUAUAAUUUAUAUGUGA